rnacentral:rRNA from 1 species
CCUACGGGAGGCAGCAGUGGGGAAUUUUGGACAAUGGGGGAAACCCUGAUCCAGCCAUCCCGCGUGUAUGAUGAAGGCCUUCGGGUUGUAAAGUACUUUUGGCAGAGAAGCGGUAUCUGCAGAAUAAGCACCGGCUAACUACGUGCCAGCAGCCGCGGUAAUACGUAGGGUGCAAGCGUUAAUCGGAAUUACUGGGCGUAAAGCGUGUGUAGGCGGUUCGGAAAGAAAGAUGUGAAAUCCCAGGGCUCAACCUUGGAACUGCAUUUUUAACUGCCGAGCUAGAGUAUGUCAGAGGGGGGUAGAAUUCCACGUGUAGCAGUGAAAUGCGUAGAUAUGUGGAGGAAUACCGAUGGCGAAGGCAGCCCCCUGGGAUAUCUGACGCUCAGACACGAAAGCGUGGGGAGCAAACAGGAUUAGAUACCCUUGUAGUC